rnacentral:tRNA from 1 species
GGGGCCAUAGCUCAGCUGGGAGAGCGCCUGCCUUGCACGCAGGAGGUCGGAGUUCGAUCCUCCCUGGCUCCA